CUUGUCACCUUUGCCAGGUGUCUGUGGCACCUCUGUGGUGCUAGUCAUCACUCUGCAGAGGUGGGAUUGUCACUUCCAAACAAGCAAACACCAGUUCAGCCUGAAGAAGCAGAGACACUGUCUAAAAGAAGAAAGAGAAGAAGGAAGAUCAGAGGGGAUGAGGAAAAAGAAGAGAAGGAAAAAGAGGAGAAAAGGAGAGAGCAAAAAGAAAUGAAGAAAACAUACCAACUCUUAGCUGCUUCUAACCACUCUGGCUUUUGGGGGGGCCUGGGAGAGGGCUUGAGACGGGGUCUCUCUAUGGAGUCCUGGCUGGCUUCAAACUCACAGAGAUCCACCUGCCUCUGCCUCCUGAGUGCUGAGAUUAGAGCUAUGCAUCACCGUGUCUAGCAGCCAUCAGAUUGGAGGUGGGGCAGGGGUCUUCAUUGCAUAUUCAUAAGUAAAAAGAAAGGCUGUG